GAUGAACGCUGGCGGCGUGCCUAAUACAUGCAAGUCGAGCGAACAGACGAGGAGCUUGCUCCUCUGACGUUAGCGGCGGACGGGUGAGUAACACGUGGAUAACCUACCUAUAAGACUGGGAUAACUUCGGGAAACCGGAGCUAAUACCGGAUAAUAUAUUGAACCGCAUGGUUCAAUAGUGAAAGACGGUUUUGCUGUCACUUAUAGAUGGAUCCGCGCCGCAUUAGCUAGUUGGUAAGGUAACGGCUUACCAAGGCAACGAUGCGUAGCCGACCUGAGAGGGGGGUCGGCCACAAUGGAACUGAGAAACGGUCCAGACUCCUACGGGAGGCAGCAGUAGGGAAUCUUCCGCAAUGGGCGAAAGCCUGACGGAGCAACGCCGCGUGAGUGAUGAAGGUCUUCGGAUCGUAAAACUCUGUUAUUAGGGAAGAACAAAUGUGUAAGUAACUAUGCACGUCUUGACGGUACCUAAUCAGAAAGCCACGGCUAACUACGUG
rnacentral:rRNA from 1 species